GUACAUGGGCGAAAGCCUGAUCCAGCCAUGCCGCGUGUGUGAAGAAGGUCUUCGGAUUGUAAAGCACUUUAAGUUGGGAGGAAGGGCAGUAAGCUAAUACCUUGCUGUUUUGACGUUACCGACAGAAUAAGCACCGGCUAACUCUGUGCCAGCGGCCGCGGUAAUACAGAGGGUGCAAGCGUUAAUCGGAAUUACUGGGCGUAAAGCGCGCGUAGGUGGUUUGUUAAGUUGGAUGUGAAAGCCCCGGGCUCAACCUGGGAACUGCAUCCGAAACUGGCAAGCUAGAGUACGGUAGAGGGUGGUGGAAUUUCCUGUGUAGCGGUCAAAUGCGUAGAUAUAGGAAGGAACACCAGUGGCGAAGGCGACCACCUGGACUGAUACUGACACUGAGGUGCGAAAGCGUGGGGAGCAAACAGGAUUAGAUACCAGGCUAAUCCAAA
rnacentral:rRNA from 1 species